rnacentral:rRNA from 1 species
UACGUAGGUGGCAAGCGUUGUCCGGAAUUAUUGGGCGUAAAGAGCUCGUAGGCGGUUUGUUACGUCCGCUGUGAAAACCCAGGGCUUAACCCUGGGCUUGCAGUGGAUACGGGCAGACUAGAGGUAGGUAGGGGAGAAUGGAAUUCCCGGUGUAGCGGUGAAAUGCGCAGAUAUCGGGAGGAACACCGGUGGCGAAGGCGGUUCUCUGGGCCUUACCUGACGCUGAGGAGCGAAAGCGUGGGGAGCGAACAGG